UACGUAGGGGGCGAGCGUUGUCCGGAUUCAUUGGGCGUAAAGCGCGCGCAGGCGGCCGCGUGAGCCCGGCGUGAAAGCCCCCAGCUCAACUGGGGGAGGUCGUCGGGGACCGCGUGGCUGGAGGCCGGCAGGGGAGAGUGGAAUUCCCGGUGUAGUGGUGGAAUGCGUAGAUAUCGGGAGGAACACCAGUGGCGAAGGCGACUCUCUGGGCCGGUCCUGACGCUCAGGCGCGAAAGCGUGGGGAGCGAUCCGGAUUAGAUACCCGGGUAGUCCACGCCGUAAACGAUGGGUGCUAGGUGUCGGGGGUAUCGACCCCCCCGGUGCCGUCGCUAACGCACUAAGCACCCCGCCUGGGGACUACGGCCGCAAGGCUAAA
rnacentral:rRNA from 1 species